ACAAGUCAGUCCAAGACUAAUGACGUGGCAAUCAGCUGUUAAAAUAUUCGUUGCUGGUAUUAGUGGAGAGAACUGGUGUGCCUGCGCGUAAGGGAAACGAAGGCAACACGAUUAUAGUAAUCAGUCAUUAAUGACAGAUGUAGUCAUUAUU